AGCUCUUGCAGUACCCUGGAACAUCGUUCACCAGGGCCAGGAUGGAUUUGCUGUACACAGGAGGGAUCCUUUUCACCUGCCAUGUCCCUAGGUGUGUGAGGAUCUACAAUGGAGCCGAAAGAAUUACAUCUUCCUGGUUCAUACUCAGAAGGAUGCAUCUUUCAACAUUUUGAGAAUAGAUGGAAGAAAAAGGCUUAAAAGUAAAAGUACCUUAAAACAUCUGAAUUUAAGAGGUCUCUAAGUCCACUGAUGACAGGAAAAUCUUCAGUGGUUCCAGAGACAAACGGCUGGAAAUCCUGCACAUUUAUUUUCUAGAAGGAAGUGAGCCGAUGAGGAUAGUGAUCUCUUCUGAGAGAUCCUCCCUUUAAAAAUCUGUAAAGGGGCU